GGCCUAUCAACAUGAUUAAUACAUGAAGAGUUCAGAUGGAAAAGCCUCUAAGUGCCAUCUGAAAUUUUCUUCUAGAAUGAUCAUUUUUAUCAAGCUUGUUCAAUAAUUUCAGUUCAAUGACAAUGCAAAUGAUCUAUUAAUUGUCAUUUAUAUGAAAGUACUUAACUAUACAGGCUUUAUAAAAAUGAUCAUUCUAGAAGAAUUUCAGGCCAGGUCCAGACAUGAUCAAAGAGGUCAGCGCAGUGAUCUCUGCAGCCCCCCCAUGACAGGCAUGGUGAGUUGUCGCCUGCGUUCGCACUGCGCUCAAUUAGGAUUAUUUUGCUAUUCAGGUGGAGAUCCUAUCACCCUGGCUGCCUGUUACGCAGUGCACACAUUGCUUUGAUGAAAAUUGCGGCCUUAUUAAUUGUAAAAAAAAAAAAAAACUUUAAAUAACUUGAUUUCUUGUUCAAAGUUUGCAGUUAGGCAAGUUUUCUAGUUGUACCUCUAAUCAUUAUAAUAUUGCAGAUUUAAUACUGAUCUUCUAAUAAAUCUGUUAAGUUGUCAAACAGAUUUUUUUGUGGUGCAGAUGCAGUGACAGAGGGGGAGAUUGCCAUGGGGUGGUAAGUACUGAUAUAUUGGCAGUGGAUAAGACCCUUUUAAUAGUACCACCUUCUCUCCCUGCACUGUUCUCUCUCUGGCUUGGUUUCUUUCAUGUCAAUUGAUUACAUUUCUUUGGACUUUUGUUUCUUUCUCCAACACUGCUGUACUAAUAACAAACACUGAAGCUGAUUAUAAAAACAACUGUGAGCUAGCUAAGCUUGCUAUUCUAAUUGGGGCAUUGUAAUCAACAAAUGUGUUUUAUUUCAGUGUUCCAGAAAAAGGUCCUGAGCCUACUGGUCGACAUCCGCCAUCGCCUGAAGGAAACGCAGCCUGCCUCUUCAGCUGUCCAUAUAGAGAGGACUGACACCAUGGAGGACUCUGAGAUACAGGAGCAACGCCUCUCUGAUGCACAGGCCUUUGAUAUCCUGGUGCUGCACAUUUCAAGAAUUGGUGGGCGAAACACCAAGGACUGUGUCCACAAAGUGUUGGACAGGUAUCUACUUCAUGUUUUGCAUGUCCUCAUUUGCCUUCAUUUAAUUUACCUAUUCUGA
ensembl:lncRNA